rnacentral:rRNA from 1 species
AACGAACGCUGGCGGCAUGCCUAACACAUGCAAGUCGAACGAGACCUUCGGGUCUAGUGGCGCACGGGUGCGUAACGCGUGGGAACCUGCACUUAGGUUCGGAAUAACUCCCCGAAAGGGGUGAUAAUACCGGAUAAUGUCUUCGGCCCAAAGAUUUAUCGCCUUUGGAUGGACCCUCGUUGGAUUAGCUAGUUGGUAGGGUAAAAGCUUACCAAGGCGACGAUCCAUAGCUGGUCUGAGAGGAUGAUCAGCCACACUGGGACUGAGACACGGCCCAGACUCCUACGGGAGGCAGCAGUGGGGAAUAUUGGACAAUGGGCGAAAGCCUGAUCCAGCAAUGCCGCGUGAGUGAUGAAGGCCUUAGGGUUGUAAAGCUCUUUUACCCGGGAUGAUAAUGACAGUACCGGGAGAAUAAGCUCCGGCUAACUCCGUG